AGGAUUAACGCUGGCGGCGUGCCUAACACAUGCAAGUCGAACGAGGUAGCAAUACCUAGUGGCAGACGGGUGAGUAACGCGUGGUCAACCUACCGUUGAGUGGGGGAUAACUAGCCGAAAGGUUAGCUAAUACCGCAUACGAGUCUCGGGGGCAUCCCUGAGCCUUAAAAGGAGCAAUCCGCUCGAUGACGGGACCGCGUCCCAUUAGCUAGAUGGUGGGGUAACGCCUACCAUGGCACCGAUGGGUAGCUGGUUUGAGAGAGCGACCAGCCACACUGGGACUGAGAAACGGCCCAGACUCCUACGGGAGGCAGCAGUGAGGAAUUUUCCGCAAUGGGCGAAAGCCUGACGGAGCGACGCCGCGUGUGGGAAGAAGGCCUUCGGGUCGUAAACCACUGUCGAAGGGGACGAUAAUGACGGUACCCUUGGAGGAAGCCCCGGCUAACUACGUGCCAGCAGCCGC
rnacentral:rRNA from 1 species